rnacentral:tRNA from 1 species
UUCGAUAUGUAUUGAUUUUAUUAGAUCAAUUUACGCAUUCGUAAUGCGAAGGUCGUAGGUUCGACUCCUGUUAUCGGCACCA